rnacentral:rRNA from 1 species
UGGGGGAUAUUGCACAAUGGGCGAAAGCCUGAUGCAGCGACGCCGCGUGGGGGAUGAAGGCCUUCGGGUUGUAAACUUCUUUUGCUCUGAACAAGGCAUGCCUUUGGGGUGUGUUGAGUGCAGGGGUUGAUUAGCGCCGGCUAACUACGUGCCAGCAGCCGCGGUAAUACGUAGGGCGCGAGCGUUGUCCGGAAUUAUUGGGCGUAAAGGGCUUGUAGGUGGCUGGUUGCGUCUGUCGUGAAAGCUCAUGGCUUAACUGUGGGUUUGCGGUGGGUACGGGCUGGCUUGAGUGCAGUAGGGGAGGCUGGAAUUCCUGGUGUAGCGGUGGAAUGCGCAGAUAUCAGGAGGAAUACCGGUGGCGAAGGCGGGUCUCUGGGCUGUUACUGACGCUGAGGAGCGAAAGCGUGGGGAGCGAACAGG